UCGAAACCUGCAAAGCAGAACGACCCGCGAACUAGUUUAUCACCCUCAGGGAGGCAGGGCUAGCCUCUGCCCCUUGAAACCGGCGUGUUCCUUCCCCAUCUCCCCCGUCGGGGGCCGAUGGGUGGGAGCGUGUCGGCUUGUACCCUAACACCGGCGCGGGUUGCGCCAAGGACCAAUAAUUCUAUCGCGUCCCGCCUCCCUCGGGCGACCGGGGGAGUCGGCGAUGGCGUGUCGAUAUAUAACAAAACGACUCUCGGCAACGGAUAUCUCGGCUCUCGCAUCGAUGAAGAACGUAGCGAAAUGCGAUACUUGGUGUGAAUUGCAGAAUCCCGUGAACCAUCGAGUCUUUGAACGCAAGUUGCGCCCGAAGCCAUUCGGCCGAGGGCACGUCUGCCUGGGCGUCACGCAUCGCGUCGCCCCCUCCUCCUCCAUCUAGGACCGGGAGAGGGGCGGAUUCUGGCCCCCCGUGUGNCCUGCGCGCGGUCGGCCUAAAUACGAGCCCGUGGCCGCCAAUGCCGCGACAUUGGUGGUUUGACGCACGAUCCACAGCUUCGUUCUUGGCAUCCUGAGGCAUCGCGUCGCUUG
rnacentral:rRNA from 1 species